rnacentral:lncRNA from 1 species
AAGGCUGGAUCGGUGUCGCCGGAGAAUCAACCAUCUUUACAAUGUGAUCUUGGAUGGCCUUCAGUAUGUAUUAUCAGCAGAGUGGCACAAACCGGAUGGGAAGAUGUGACUGAUUCUUGAACUCUCUCUACUUAUAGACCCAAUUUCAUACAGCAGAUGGAGGCAAAUAGAAUCUCCCCAGCUCAGAUCAACAUGAUAUGUGAAGCUUGGCAUUUGGAUCUGCUAUCCUCUUGUCCAGACAGGUCUGACAUAUUUCUCUUUUUUUUAACUGUUUCCAGCUCAACAUGCAUGUGUUUGCUUGUGAUUAACUGUGCUUGGUGUUUGAAUCUGUAGCUCAUUCCAAACUACAUUAGUUUUGUAAUGAUAAACUUUGGGUAUUGGACUACCCUGAGAUGCGUGAGUCAUCUGUCUGCUUGUUUGCUUACACCUUGAAGAUAAGGUCAGUACUAAAUCCAUUAUUAAAUAUUCUAUACUGGUCACUUGGCACAUUGACAAAUAAUGCAAUAACCAGCAACCAGACAGGAAAUAUAAAAAAGAGUGGAAAAAACAAUAGAUAGCAGCAAAUACCACAUGUAGUUUGCAAAGUACGUCAUUAGCAAUCUUAUAAUUGUUAGGCUCAAAUAAUUUAGCAAUUUUAUAAUUAUUAUGAGUGUUAUAUGCUGGCCUGUCUCUCCAACAUAGUCAGAUAACACGUACACUGAAGAGUAAUAAUGACGAUAAGAGUUGGCUAAUCAAACCUGUACAUGUGUGUCAGUGCUUUUCAUGAUGGAUCUUGUAAUGAUAUAUCUAAGCCAGUCGGUUGCUGCUUUUAUGAAUCAUACAUCUCGGGAUGUCAGACAGGCUUUUGAGUGUGCUUUUAUUUAAAAUGUAUGAAAUGUCGUAAGCCUGCCUGUGAUCUAACAUGAGUUCACCUGAUCAUGCACCCUUUUGUGGGUAAUCUAGAAAAAAAAGGUUUCUGUCAAUUUUUUUCUUCCUGUUUUUGAGUCGUGAACCUUCUCUUGCAUCAGUCUUGAAAAUUGUGUAUUCAUAAUUAUUAUCAGCCGUUGGUUCUGGUCAUUCUCUGCCUUCUUGUCAGAAUGAAUGUAAGCAUGCACCUUCUUGCUUUGAGCAGCUAUUUCACCUCAUCUUCUAAUGGUCAUUUUGGGGUCUCUUAUCUGCUCCUUUAUCAUGCUCUCUGUCAUGGUGCCAAGCAAGUCCAACAGCCUGACAGACAUCCAACUCCACUUCCACUGAUUUCUUUUGUUGUGGCUUCAAGAAGAUCUGAUUGCUGCUAUGCUAGCAAAAGAAGUUCCUUGCUGUACAAUGAGAUCUCCAAAAGGCUUCGGCAAGUUCCAUCAGCUGUGGACUAGAGCAAACAGGAUGGCUAUAUUUGAAUGACCCUUGAUUUCUCCCUGCUUUUAGACCUUGUAUCCACUUCUCUAAACAGGUCUGACUUAUUUCUCCUUUUUAAAGUUAUUCCAUCUCCACAUGCAUGUGGUGGCUUGUGAUGGAACACCUCAUAAUCUUUAUUAUAUACAUGUUUUUCAUUUGAGUUUUAACACUUUAAACACAUUGGAAUCUUAAGUCUAUGGUUUUGCUUUCUAGCCAUGAUGUGGAUUGUAAUAAUGUAAGAUGCACUGUUGUCAUUUGUCUGCUUGUUAGGUCACAUUUUAAAGGUCGAGAAUAAAUCCAUGAACAAUCCUGUAUACUAAGUACAAGACACUGGCAAUCAUGUAUACUAACUACAGUUGCUAAUGAUGCACGUUGCAGAAAAGCUGAUCUGAUUAUUAUAACAGUAGGAUAUUGUGAAUAGAGACUAUUUUGGAUUAGUGUUCUAAACAAGCAUUUCAAUCCUGUUUCAUUAACCUCAAUGCUGUUCUGUAAUGUCUGCAACUGAUAUUGUGCCUUAUGUAUCCUCCCAUCAUUACCUUCAAUGUUCUUCUGCUUUCGCUCACAAGCUUUUUCUUUUUAUCUUUUUGCAAUGCCAAUAAGAGACCAUCAGGUAGCUAUGCAUUUUGUCCUUGGCAUGUGGACUAGAAGAUAAAGAUGGAUAGAAGAAGAAUAUUGAUGUUCACUUUUGCAUCACUUGAAGUCCUGAUCACCAAUGUCCAUUGAUCAUUGCCCAUGUCAUGUGUCAACAUAAGAUGUGUCAUCCAUCUACUUCAAUAUUUUUUAGCAAUGUGAGCAUGCAUCUUGCUCUAGGCAACUGUUGCCCCUGGUCUUCUAAGGGCUAUUUGAAGAUCUCUGGUCUUCUCCUUUAUUGUCACCAUGCAAUUUAUCAUGGAGCCGAGCAAGUCCUACAGCUUGACAGACCCAUCCAAGUCCACUUACACCCAUUUAUUUUGUUCUAUGUUGGAGUAUUUACUGCUAUGCAAGCCAAGAAGCUCCUCGAUGCACUUGUACAAACCUUCAGACUUGAUCUUCUGCAGCUCUUCCUCUACUUUUAGCAUGAGAGGGUGAUCUAUAGAUGGCUUGCUGAUGGUACAAACAUGGUAACACUGAUUGGUGUUGUAGGAGGACCAGCUAUACAUAUCAGUAUGUUCUUGGAAGGCCUUUGGAAUAAAUUAUUAAUUGAAGACUACGGAAAAGAAGGAUGUGAAGAUGUGAAAGAGCUUGGAACUUCGCCAACUUAAAGACCCAGUUUCAUGAAGCAGAUGUGAGGCUAGUGGAAUUUAACUAGCCAAUAUGGUACAUGAAGCUUGCAAUUUGGAUCUUGUAGCCUCUUCUUCGAACAGGUUAUGUUCAUUUCUCCCUUUUUAAGUACUACUUAGUUCCACAUGCACGUGUCAGGCUUGUGAUGAUACACCUCACCACCUAUAUUUUAAACAUGAUUGUAGUCUAGAUCUUAGACACCUUCUUCAAACAGGUUAGAUUCCAUUGUUUGUGAGUUAGUGUUGUAGUUUUGAAAUUGAUUAUUGUACUAAUCUAAGUUGCAUGAGUUUGAUGUCUGCUUUCUAGGCUACACCUUCAUGCCAAGCAUGGUUUACCUUACCGGUCCGUACCGAUGUACCGAUCGGUCAUCGGUAUGGUAUUUACCAAACUGUACCAACACACGAUAUGGUGGAGCGUACCGAUAAACCGGUAUGUACCGUCUAUACCAAUCCUUUGUUGGACCAGAACAUACUGCCCAUACUGGGCGGUACUCUGCAGUAUGGUGAAUCUUGAUGCCAAGGUCAAGAUUAAAUGGAAAAUAAUCAUGUAUACUAAUUACAAGACACACUUGCAAAGGGCAAUAGUCCACAACCAGAAAGCAAGGGCACUUGAUCAAGUAUCCUAGUGACUACAAACUAGAAAAUAAGGCAAUAACCAACAACCAGAAAUUAGUAAAAGAAUCCAUGUAUGUGUCUUUUAAGUACAUGUGUGGCAAUCAUAAAAUUUAAGCAAUGGGAUGUUUGGACUGUUUUUUAUCAGAGUUUUUGAAGUUAUAAUUUCAGUCAUAGAGAAGUAAAUGCGAUGCCUUGAGGAUUUCCAGUGUAAGCACUGACUUGAAUAAGAAAUCUGAGUGAAUUCUUGAGACAACAAGAAGAUUGUAUUGGAUUUUAAUAGUAUACAGAUUACUGUACAAAACUGUUAACACUGAUCAGCAGAUCUCCUAAAAUCUGGAUGCUGAUCAUAGCAUACAAGGUUUCAUGAGCUACUUAUGAGCUUAGGAUGUUAAGAAGAUGGACUCUGCUCUGAAUUAGCUGCUUGAACAAACUUUCUAUUCCACUCUCAAGAUCUUUAGUGUUGUCCUCUAGCAUUUGCAAUUGAUCGUGGAAUUUUACUACCCUGCCGUCACCAACAUCUUUGCAGGAUAUGUACUCGAGCGAAGCAUGCAGUGAGAACAAAUCUGAUCUUUCAAUUCCAUUUCCAUCCUCAUGCUCCCUCUCGCAUGCCACUUGCUUCUUGCUUAAUGCCUUGGAGACAAA